ensembl:lncRNA
UACGUCUCGGGGGCGCGCUCUCCACCGUCGUGACGUCACGGAAGCGCCCGAGCAGCGGGGAAGCCGCCAGUGGCAGAGACUAGAGCUGGCGAGAGACGGGGAAGGAGGGAGAGACGGGAGACGGGAGACGGACACGAGACCGGAGGACAAGCCCGACCCGAAAAAGACAGAGAGACACACCAGCGCCGCGCCCUCGGCCGGCCGUCGGUUUACGCUACGAAGCGUCGCUCGGACGUUUGACAGCAGCACGGAGAUCCCUUCACCCCGAGCCUCUUGGAUUUACUUCAUCCAAAAGGAAGUCCCAUCGAUUCCCGCUUUCCGACAAAGCACAUUAAUUCCAGUGAGCUUUUUUCUUUUGGAAAGGCCUUAAUCAC